AGACUGAUUAAUAGGCUGGUCACACCCAGUGCAAGAAUCAGUCCCAGUCAGAACACAGCAUGGACAUGAAGGCUCCUGCUCAGCUCCUGGGGCUCCUGCUUCUCUGGCUCCCAGGUGCCAGGUGCGACAUCCAGGUGACCCAGUCUCCAUCCUCCCUGUCUGCAUCUGUAGGAGAGAGAGUCACCAUCACUUGCCGUGCAAGUCAGAAUAUUAACAAUGAAUUAUCCUGGUAUCAACAGAAACCAAGGAAAGCCCCUAAGCUCCUGAUCUAUGCAGCAUCCACUUUGCAGUCUGGGGUCCCAUCGAGGUUCAGUGGCAGUGGAUAUGGGAAAGAUUUCACUCUCACCAUCAGCAGUCUGCAGUCUGAAGAUUUUGCAAUUUAUUACUGUCUACAGGAUUACAGUGCUGCUCCCACAGUGUUACAAGUCAUAACAUAA